rnacentral:rRNA from 1 species
UACGGGGGGAGCAAGCGUUGUUCGGAUUUACUGGGCGUAAAGGGCGCGUAGGCGGUCGUGACAAGUCACUUGUGAAAUCUCCGGGCUUAACUCGGAACGGUCAAGUGAUACUGUCGGACUAGAGUACAGAAGGGGCAACUGGAAUUCUCGGUGUAGCGGUGAAAUGCGUAGAUAUCGAGAGGAACACCUGCGGCGAAGGCGGGUUGCUGGGCUGAUACUGACGCUGAGGCGCGAAAGCCAGGGGAGCGAACGGA